rnacentral:rRNA from 1 species
UGAGUAACACGUGAGUAACCUGCCCCCUUCUUCGGGAUAACCAUUGGAAACGGUGGCUAAUACCGGGUAUGACAUCAGAUCGCAUGGUUUGGUGUGGAAAGGUUUUUUCUGGUGGGGGAUGGGCUCGCGGCCUAUCAGCUUGUUGGUGGGGUGAUGGCCUACCAAGGCUUUGACGGGUAGCCGGCCUGAGAGGGCGACCGGCCACACUGGGACUGAGACACGGCCCAGACUCCUACGGGAGGCAGCAGUGGGGAAUAUUGCACAAUGGGGGAAACCCUGAUGCAGCGACGCCGCGUGGGGGAUGAAGGCCUUCGGGUUGUAAACCCCUUUCAGUAAGGAACAAGGCCAUGAUUGUUGUUGUGGUUGAGGGUACUUGCAGAAGAAGCGCCGGCUAACUACGUGCCAGCAGCCGCGGUAAUACGUAGGGCGCAAGCGUUGUCCGGAAUUAUUGGGCGUAAAGAGCUCGUAGGCGGUUUGUCGCGUCUGUCGUGAAAUCCCGAUGCUUAACGUCGGGCUUGCG